rnacentral:rRNA from 1 species
UGCCAGCAGCCGCGGUAACACGGGGGGCGCAAGCGUUAUUCGGAAUUAUUGGGCGUAAAGGGUGCGUAGGCGGGCUAUUAAGUCGGAUGUGAAAGCCCUGGGCUUAACCUGGGAAUGGCAUUCGAUACUGGUGGGCUAGAGUCUGAUAGAGGGUAGCGGAAUUCCGGGUGUAGCGGUGAAAUGCGUAGAGAUCCGGAGGAACAUCUGUGGCGAAGGCGGCUACCUGGAUUAAGACUGACGCUGAGGCACGAAAGCGUGGGGAGCAAACAGGAUUAGAUA